CCUACGGGUGGCAGCAGUAGGGAAUAUUGCUCAAUGGGGGAAACCCUGAAGCAGCAACGCCGCGUGGAGGAUGAAGGUUUUCGGAUUGUUAACUCCUUUUUUUAGAGAAGAUAAUGACGGUAUCUAACGAAUAAGCACCGGAUAACUCCGUUCCAGGAGCCGCGGUACCACGGAGGGUGCCAGCGUUACUCGGAAUCACUGAGCGUAAGGAGCGCGUAGGCGGGAUAGCAAGUCAGACGUGAAAUACUAUGGCUUAACCAUAGAACUGCAUUUGAAACUGUUAUUCUAGAGUAGGGGAGAGGUAGGUGGAAUUCUUGGUGUAGGGGUAAAAUGCGUAGAGAUCAAGAAGAAUACUGAUUGCGAAGGCGACCUACUAGAACAUAACUGACGCUGAUGCGCGAAAGCGUGGGGAGCAAACAGGAUUAGAUACCCUGGUAGUC
rnacentral:rRNA from 1 species